AACGCACAUGGCGCUAUGUUUACAUGGCAUGCUUGUUUCAGUGUUAUACCCUCUCACGGCCCCCCUGGGGCCUUGUGGUGUAUGAGCCUCACAGCGCGUAACUGCUUGCUGAAUGGCUUGAAGUCUGGUUUUGGUGACCCGGUAAGUUUAUAUCUCUGCAUCCGAAGGGAGCAAGGGUACAACAGCGCGGUGUGGUAGGAUCCCGCAAGGGACUUCACAACCCCCGUGACCUGUAUAACCCCCACUCUAUGCCAAACUUUGGAUGCGCACAAAGGAGGAUUUAUGAACCAUUGUAUGGGAGCCUCCAGGCAAAGCGCAAGCUCUGCUGAAGAGUGCAGGUUUGGCCUGCACACACCCUUUUCAACCUUUAACCUGAAAUCAAGUAAGAGUACCCGCUGAAUUUAA
rnacentral:misc_RNA from 1 species